GGGCUGCUGCCAUGCCCCCACAGCCAUGGGGAGCCCUUGGGAUUUGGGAGCCCCCCCAAAGUGCCCGUAGCACACAGCAGAGCCAGCCCUGCACCAGGCAGGAUGUGACACCCAUGGGGAGUAACGAGAAGUCCCCGAGGUGCAGCUCACCGAGAAAUAACGUCCUCACAUCGUGCCCAGCUCGGCGCAGGCAGAGGGGAAGCUGCCAUCUACAGGCACAGCACCCGCACAGCGCCCUCCUGCUUGCUCCGGGCUGGCACACCUGCAGAUGGAGAAGGCAAGCCAGGGAAAUGAGGAAGAGGAGAAAAAAGAAUAAGUGACACCCGGUGAAGGCUUCUUGAUGUGCCUACAGGAUGGCAAGAGGUGGAUCUUGGCAAUUUAAGUAAAGGCGCAUGGAAAUACAGCGUGGGUUUGGCACGGAGGUGCUGGCACUUGGGCUGCUGCUGCUCAACCCUGGAAACACAAUCACAGAAUCACAGAAACGCCAGCUUGGAAAGGACCUGCAAGAUCAUCCCGUCCAACCAAAUGCCAAAAAGCAAUGCCAGCAGCUCUCCGAGGCGGUGCGUUUAAAGCAGGAGCCACGUCCUGGGGAUAAAGAUCCAACCCCGCGUUGCCCCAGGGAAGAGAAAAGGCAUCGGCCAACUGAUGCUGGGCACACACAAGGCUCGUGGAGCCUCCUGUGUGGAGCCUGCUCCCAUUCCCAACCUCUUCUUCCUCAUAUUGAAAGCAUUCAUCAAAGCGGGUGGCACAUCGCGUGCGGCUGAGCGCCGGGAGCGGCGCAGGGGAGAAUUAGGGGAGAAACUUUCCGGGCGAGGUUUGUUCUCCCCGUGCAGCCCGGCAGAGCACAAGCCGGUCUAAUCACAAGCUACAGUCCUUCGCCAUCUGCUUGGAGCCUAAUUACAAAUGCAGGAAAAUAAUGUGCCUUACAAUUGCACCAGUAAAUGCUGUAAAUGAUUUAAAUGCAUGCAUAUGUUCCCUGCAGAAUUCAGCAUGCAUCUGCGGCUCCUUCUCCUCGCAUUAGGCUCACAAAUCAAGGGAAAAAAUACCCAGAUCUGACGAACAGAACGUCCCUAGGACGGUGAUUUUUAUCCCUCUUUCUUCCCCCCUGCUGGAAUGGCAAACGGGGCUUUUUUGUAACAAUUCAUUCGACAGCGUUUUCCUCGCUUCCAUUUAAAAAAACUGUUGAGCGCUGCCGUGUAAAUAUAGUACAAAUUACCCCAUAAAGCACGCAGAAGGAGCACAGCAGCCGGGCACGCCUGCAGCUGGCUGGCACCGCUUCAAAGCGGAGCUGUUCGGGGCGCACAGCUCACCCACGGAGUCCUGGACCCCCAAAUUUCCACCCCCCCCUCCCCAGCUCAGCUUCCAUCCGCCUUGCUCCUGGCGCUGCAGCUGCCUCCGGUUUGGCCCCAGCAUCCCAGGAAAACGCUGAAAGGAUGGCUCCUGCCCCAAAAUGCGCGCGGCCUCUUCUGUCCCUCGCCAAGGCGAUGCUGGGGGGCAGCGAGGUGGGUUCAAAGAUGCUCCCAGCUGCCAAAUGCUGGCAGCGCCGUGCCAAAAGCCCCCCCGUGCCUCGAAGGCUGGUGUUACAGAUGGAGAGCUGGCAGGGAGCAGCAGCACGACCCCGCAGGGCGCACGCAGGGUUUUGGAGAUGAGCACGUCGCUCACAACCCCUCCGAGAGGCUCUGGAGGAGCUGGCAUCGCCCCGAGGACAGGCAGGGCACAGAAGAGGUCGGGCAUCAGCUGGGUUAUUUCUUCUGGGCAGAAGCUGCGACAGAUGCAGCUCCUCUGCUCGCUGCCCUUUCAUCCACCCCCUCUCUCCCUGCCAGCUUCCAGGGUUCGUUUCCUGCCUUCAAGGCAAGAGCAAAAGACUUGAGAGCAUCACCCGCACAUCUCCCCCCAAAAACUGCUCCAGGCAGACACCAGCACUUACACAGUAUCAAGAAUUAACUUUAUUAGUGACAAUCAAGUCCUGUCUGGAGAGGUAUCUGGUCACUUCCCUCUGUAACAUCACGGAGAGGAUGAGCGGAGCAGCCCGUAAUUAGCAGGACCUCCUGACCUGGCACCGGGCAGUUCAGGAACCUGCCCAGCACGAGACCUCUCCCCCUAAAAGCCCACCGAGGCCACCUGAAGCUGAAGACUUGAAUAUUUGAGAUGCCACCUGCAGGUGCUCAGCCCUGGGUAUUUCCAUCUCGGAAACAAUUUCACACCUGCAGGCAAGAAGCAUCUUGCACCCAGAGCGAGUCAGUGUCCCACCAGGGAAAUAUUAAAGCCAUCACCAGUGCUCGUGCACUGCAGAGCCUCUGUGUGCAAAGUCGUGGGCCGUACAGCUCAGCCUCUGUACCACGUGCCCUGUAAGUUUUCCACCCGUGUCAGGAUUUUAUGAUUUAAAAAU